CUUUUGACAGCCGUGAGCUUCCCCGGCAGGAACUUACUGGGGCUGCAUCACCCUAGAAACAUGGCUUUGGGCUGUGGAAACGCUGCUGCCGUGGAAGUCUCUCCUCGCGGGGGUGGACGGGGCGCUGCGCGCCCAGCGUCCUUCUGCGGUUCUCCCAGCCCGUCGCCGCCUCCACCUCGGGGACCUUUGCGGGGAGGCCUCGGGCUGGAGUAUACUGGCAUGAUCAUAGAUCACUGCAGCCUCAAACUCCUGGGCUCAAGCGAUCCUCCUACCUCAGCCUCCAUAUAGCUGGUGGGAACCAAGUUUCUAACACAUGAAUGUUGGGAGACACAUUCAGACCAUCGCAGUGGCCUUAUAAAAAGAGACACAAGAGCUUGCUCUCUGCCAUGUGAGUAUACCACAAGAAGACUGUCCUCAGCAAAUCAGAAAGCGGGUGGACCCUCAUCAGACACCAGAUGUGCCUGCACCUUGAUCUUGGACUUGCCAGCCUUCAGAACAGUAAGAAAGAAAUGUGUGUUGUUUAAGCCACCCAGUCUAUGGUAACUUGCUAUAGCAGCCCACUAGGAGACCCCAAGAUAUUUAAAAACUCAUCAGCACCUGCUUUCUGCAUCUGGACCCUGAUCUUCUGGUGGGUUUACCAGUUACUUGUAGAGUGUCCCUGUGAUAGUUUU
rnacentral:lncRNA from 1 species